rnacentral:rRNA from 1 species
CCUACGGGAGGCAGCAGUGGGGAAUAUUGCACAAUGGGCGAAACCCUGAUGCAGCGAUGCCGCGUGAGUGAAGAAGUAAUUCGUUACGUAAAGCUCUAUCAGCACGGAGGAAAAUGACGAUACCUGUAUCUGUAUCCCCGGCUAACUACGUGCCAGCAGCCGCAGUAAUACGGAGGGGGCCAGCGUUAUCCGGAUUUUCUGGGUGUAAAGGGCACUUAGACGGUGCGCCAAGUCAGUAGUGAAAUGCCGAAGCUUAACUGCGGAACUGCUUUGGAUACUGGCGAACUAGAGUGCGGGAGGGGGAAGCGGAAUGCAUAGUGUAGCGGUGAAAUGCGUAGAGAUUAGGAGGAACACCGGUGGCGAAGGCGGCUGACUGGA